rnacentral:lncRNA from 1 species
CAGGCGGGGUAGAAUUGGAAAGGGAGAACCAAGUUAACUGAUGACCAAAAUAACAUUAUUACACCAAUAAAUAUAUCUGUAUUUGAAUGCAUAAAAUAGCAUUUAUACCAAACAUCAGACAACCAAAAACCAGCACUGCAAUCACUAGAUAGAUCCCUCAUGGUUAUUAUUCUUAAACGGUGUAUGGAGUAUUUCAUACAGUGGAAUAAACUCUCAAGACCUAACCCAGACAUCAUUCCUAUUUUUCUCCCCUUUGUGUCCCCAAAGGUCCUGAUCCCAACUCCAGCCUGGAAGGAGGUAAGUUAAUUGUGGGAAAGGGAGGGAGGGAGGCACAGAGGGGAGGGAUUGCUGAAAAUAAGACUCCAGAGGACCUAGCCCAGAACGGAGGGUAGCCGAGCUGGCCAUCUUAAUGUGCAGGCUUCCCCAAGUGCUGUGUCUGGCAGCCCUCCAUGCCAGCGCAGGAGGAAAAUCUGGUUGAAGGGAGAGCAGGGAACUUUUAUGAUGCCCAAAGAUUUCCCCAAGACAGAUGUUUUUGCUUCUUGGCAUUGCAUUUCUGGAGGGGCAGAGCAAUGGAGUCACUGUCAUUGAAAAUGACUGUGUCCCUGUGGUGAAAUUGGCCCAGCCAGGACUGGUAAUACAUUGAGGUGGUUCCCAAGUUUGGUUGGCUUCCUAGAAGUUGAAAGCCUUAUUUCUCUGAGCACAUUUCCCUUUAAUCACUGUGCUUUCCAGAGACCCAGGCUUCAGCUGUAUCCAGCACAAAACAAUUUGGGUACAAGCCACAAAGAGGACUCUAACAGCAUGCAUAAAGACUCCAACUCCCUGAAAUUGAUGUUUUUCUUCUCAUCACUGCCA